AAGGAAUAUUGGUCAAUGGACGAAAGUCUGAACCAGCCAUGCCGCGUGCAGGAUUAAGGCCCUAUGGGUCGUAAACUGCUUUUAUACGGGACAAAACCCCUCUACGUGUAGAGGGCUGAUGGUACUGUAAGAAUAAGGAUCGGCUAACUUCGUGCCAGCAGCCGCGGUAAUACGAAGGAUUCGAGCGUUAUCCGGAUUUAUUGGGUUUAAAGGGUGCGUAGGCGGACUGAUAAGUCAGUGGUGAAAUCCUGUUGCUUAACAACAGAACUGCCAUUGAUACUGCCAGUCUUGAGUACAGUUGAGGUAGGCGGAAUGUGUCAUGUAGUGGUGAAAUACUUAGAUAUGACACAGAACACCGAUUGCGAAGGCAGCUUGCUAAACUGUAACUGACGCUGAGGCACGAAAGCAUGGGGAGCAAAC
rnacentral:rRNA from 1 species